UCGACCUUACCUUUCGUUGGGAUAACAGUUGGAAACGAUUGCUAAUACCGAAUAAAAUGUAAGAGUCAAUUUUACAUUGAAAGGAGCCUUUAAAGCUUUGCGAUUAGAUGGGCCUGCGGCGUAUUAACUAGUUGGUGAGGUAAUGGCUUACCAAGGUGACGAUGCGUAGCCGAACUGAGAGGUUGAUCGGCCACAUUGGGACUGAGACACGGCCCAAACUCCUACGGGAGACAGCAGUUAGGAAUAUUCGUCAAUGGAGGAAACUCUGAACGAGCAAUGCCGCGUGAGUGAUGAAGGUCUUAUAGAUUGUAAAACUCUGUUGUAUGGAAAAAACGACUAGGUUAGGAAAUGAACUUAGUGUGAUGGUACCAUACCAGAAAGCCCCGGCUAACUACGUG
rnacentral:rRNA from 1 species